rnacentral:tRNA from 1 species
GAAGAAAUGGCUCAGCAGUUAAGAGCACUGGCUGCUUUUCCAGAGGACUUGGGUUCAAUUCCCAGUACCCACA